CAUAUAGUCUUUUACUACAUAAAUAUGAUGUAGGUUUCGAUAUAACGCUAUAUAGAGACAUAACACAUGCAAGUAAAUAAUAACACCAUACUAACUCCGUAUUCACUUAUGGUUAGACCUAUUAUUGUUUAAAGAUAAGGGUAGUUAGUAGUUAGAGUUUGCGUUCAGGUGAGUAAAAAUAGGUAUUGAUUACCUUAAUAGAUGUAGGUAGUAGUUGUGAACUAAUAAGUAGAUUGAUAGGUAUUUUAUCUUAAUGUCUAUGAAAGUAAUUACCAUAACUAGCCUUUGACCUAUACUCCAUGGUGGAAGCCAUAAGGAGCACAUAGAAGUUUAUUCUACUACUAUUAGUAGCAGCAGUGGGGAAUUAUUGACAAUGAUCUCACGAUUGAUCAUGUUAUCUAUAUAAGAUAGUAAAGCGUAUAUUGGUUUAGAUAAUACAUAUUAAGGAAUACUAUACUGAAUAAGUGGUAUUGUAAUAUGCAGAAUCUAAUAGGUAGUUUACUUUACAUAUAUCUUGAUACAGCUAAGUAAUAAUGAUACUUGGUUUUAUUAGUUCUUACAAAGAUGUGUGCCAGCAGUAGCGGUCAUACACACAGAGCUAGCGUUUAUCAUCCUUGGUUUAAAGGACCCGUAGGUUUAACUAGUAUAGAAUCUUAGGAAAAUAAUAUGUAAAUUAUAUAGAGAGAUAAAAUGUAAUGACAUAUAAUAGACAGUAAGGCAAUUAUUUAAUAAGAUUGACACUGAGGGGUGAAAGCUGCAAAAGUAACAUGGAUUCGGUACCCAUUUAACUGCAGCUGUGAACUAUGUAUACCAUGAUAAUAUUGUCCCAUUAGAAGGUAAUAUUAGUAUAAGUAAAUAUGAAGAGUAUACCACCAGACUAGUACGCUCGCAAGAGUGAAAUGUAAUACAUUAGACGGUUAUAUAUCAAUACAGUGGAUCAUGCUAUUUAAUUGGACGAUACACCAGAAUCUUACCAAAUCUUGAAUAUUAUAACAUAGAGUAUAAUACAGGCGUUACAUUGUUGUCGUCAGUUCAUGCCAAGUGGUUUAUUACUAAGCUAAUUAAUGAACGUAAUCCUUAUUUGAAAAUAUAUCAAGGUAUAUUAGUAAAGAUGUAUAAUAGAAAUAUUAUAGGAAGUAAAGGUUUAAGACUAAUCCGCAUGACCCUUAUGAUUUGGGCUAUAGGUGUGAUACGAAUAAAUUAUUAAUUAUAUGUCUAGUGGUAGACUAACCAAUGAAAUAAUUUAACUAAGGAAGAAUAUCUUUAACUGGAUUAAAUUCUGUAAUUCGGAUUUAUGAAAGAGGAACUGUCAGUAAUCGUAUUUUAGUAUAAUACGGUGAAUUUGUCCUAUAUUUCGCACUAAUCACUCAUCAAUAGCAUAGAUACAGCCUAUAAUUAUUUAACUAAUUAGCCUUUUUAACUAGAGGAAAUGUUCAAAAUAAUUAUAUAUGGUUCAAGAUAUGCUAUAAGUUGAAAUACAGUUCGGGUAAGGGAACUUGCUCGGGAUUUAUAAUAAUAUUAACUAUUCAAUUUAUCAAAGUAACAA
rnacentral:rRNA from 1 species